rnacentral:rRNA from 1 species
UAAUUGAAGAGUUUGAUCAUGGCUCAGAUUGAACGCUGGCGGCAGGCCUAACACAUGCAAGUCGAGCGGUAACAGGGGAAGCUUGCUUCUCGCUGACGAGCGGCGGACGGGUGAGUAAUGUAUGGGGAUCUGCCCGAUAGAGGGGGAUAACUACUGGAAACGGUAGCUAAUACCGCAUAAUCUCUAAGGAGCAAAGCAGGGGAACUUCGGUCCUUGCGCUAUCGGAUGAACCCAUAUGGGAUUAGCUAGUAGGUGAGGUAAUGGCUCACCUAGGCGACGAUCCCUAGCUGGUCUGAGAGGAUGAUCAGCCACACUGGGACUGAGACACGGCCCAGACUCCUACGGGAGGCAGCAGUGGGGAAUAUUGCACAAUGGGCGCAAGCCUGAUGCAGCCAUGCCGCGUGUAUGAAGAAGGCCCUAGGGUUGUAAAGUACUUUCAGUCGGGAGGAAGGCGUUG